GGGCGUAUAGCUCAGUUGGUUAGAGCGCAGUCCUGAUAAGACUGAGGUCCUUGGUUCGAAUCCAAGUAUGCCCAC
rnacentral:tRNA from 1 species